rnacentral:rRNA from 1 species
CCUACGGGUGGCAGCAGUGAGGAAUAUUGGUCAAUGGGCUUACGCCUGAACCAGCCAAGUCGCGUGAGGGAAGACUGCCCUAUGGGUUGUAAACCCUUUUUGUCAGGGAGCAACGCUGCCUACGUGUAGCCGGACUGAGAGUACCUGAAGAAAAAGCAUCGGCUAACUCCGUGUCAGCAGCCGCGGUAAUACGGAGGAUGCGAGCGUUAUCCGGAUUUAUUGGGUUUAAAGGGUGCGUAGGCGGAAUGCCAAGUCAGCGGUAAAAUCGCGGGGCUCAACCUCGCUCCGCCGUUGAAACUGGCGUUCUUGAGUGGGCGAGAAGUAUGCGGAAUGCGUGGUGUAGCGGUGAAAUGCAUAGAUAUCACGCAGAACUCCGAUUGCGAAGGCAGCAUACCGGCGCCCAACUGACGCUGAAGCACGAAAGCGUGGGUAGCGAACAGGAUUAGAUACCCGGGUAGUC